UGGGCGUUCAACACCUUUUUAUGCCAGCACGUAGGAGCUACGUGAUUGGCAGGGAAAGGGUUAACACUAUUAAGCAUGGCUAGUUACAUUAAAUGUAAUGUUUAAUCCCUCAGUACAUUUGUGAAACACUUUAAAUUUCUUUUUAAUUAUAGGUCAAAAAAAGAAACUCAGAAGCUCAGAGAAUUUAAAGAAGGCCUGAAUUUCAUGGCAGUUGCUUAAAGGGAUGUGAUACAGCUGACAUCACUGUUUGUCUACUUUCCCUCCUGAAGCUUCGUACAGGAAUCCUUUCCCAGCCAGACUAUGGAAGAAACCAGAUGAGAAAUAGGAGCGUGAGCUGCUGGAGGCAGAAGCAUCAGAGAGCAAGGAAAAGAAACUAAACUUGGUGAUGUUCCCACUAUUGAUCCUCUGAAAUUCUACACACACCUUUACAAAACCCUCUAUGGGCUCCAUGCAGAUCUUGCUACAGAGCUUUGCCUGCUUUUGCCUGCGUUUUUUUGCUUCGGCGAUGGAUUGGAUUUUACAGUUUUUUUUUAUAGUUUAUUCCAUCUUUACUAAACUAGCGUCAGGGAGAACAAGAACCUACAGAGGGAGGUCCCUUUGGGGUACCCCGGCCUUGUGCCGGCCCCUCGGCCUUACAGCAUCAUUUCAAGCUUCGUUUA